rnacentral:sRNA from 1 species
GCGCCCGGCGGGGACUGCAGGCGAUGACCCAGGAUGCAGCCAGGGGCCACGACAUGCACGGAGGACCGCAUCCAGCAUGCCCUGGAACGCUGCCUGCAUGGACUCAGCCUCAGCCGCCGCUCCACCUCCUGGUCAGCUGGGCUGUGUCUGAACUGCUGGAGCCUGCAGGAGCUGGUCAGCAGGGACCCCGGCCACUUCCUUAUCCUCCUUGAGCAGAUCCUGCAGAAGACCCGAGAGGUCCAGGAGAAGGGCACCUACGACCUGCUCACCCCACUGGCCCUGCUCUUCUAUUCCACUGUUCUUUGUACACCACACUUCCCACCAGACUCGGAUCUCCUUCUGAAGGCAGCCAGCACCUACCACCGGUUCCUGACCUGGCCUGUUCCUUACUGCAGCAUCUGCCAGGAGCUGCUCACCUUCAUUGAUGCUGAACUCAAGGCCCCAGGGAUCUCCUACCAGAGACUGGUGAGGGCUGAGCAGGGCCUGCCCAUCAGGAGUCACCGCAGCUCCACCGUCACCGUGCUGCUGCUGAACCCAGUGGAAGUGCAGGCCGAGUUCCUUGCUGUAGCCAAUAAGCUGAGUACGCCCGGACACUCGCCUCACAGUGCCUACACCACCCUGCUCCUGCACGCCUUCCAGGCCACCUUUGGGGCCCACUGUGACGUCCCGGGCCUGCACUGCAGGCUACAGACACUGCAAAACCAGGGAAGCUCCAUACCAUCCCCAUCCCUGUCGCCCGGUGCUACACCUACAGCUGGAGCCAGGACAGCUUUGACAUCCUGCAGGAAAUCCUGCUCAAGGAACAGGAGCUGCUCCAGCCAGGGAUCCUGGGAGAUGAUGAAGAGGAGGAAGAGGAGGAGGAGGAGGAGGAGGUGGAGGAGGACUUGGAAACUGACGGGCACUGUGCCGAGAGAGAUUCCCUGCUCUCCAC